AUCGGACAUGGGAUAACGGAAGAGGGCGUCGGCUCGACUUCGUCGGUUCCUCGGGCCGAGGCACGUACGGUGAAUAGGGACGGUCGGGGCCGCCCGUACCGGGUCGUGAGAGGUGAAAUUCUAGGAUCGACCCGAGACGAACUGCCGCGAAAGCAUUCGGCAAGGACGCUUUUCAUUAAUCAAGAACGAAAGUCGGGGGAUCGAAGACGAUCAGAUACCGUCGUAGUCCCGACCGUAAACGAUGCCGGGCCCCUCCCGCGAGAAAUCAGGAGUAUUCGGGUUCCGGGGGGAGUAUGGUCGCAAGGCCGAAACUUAAAGGAAUUGACGGAAGGGCACCACCAGGAGUGGAAUCUGCGGCUUAAUUUGACUCAACGCGGGAAAACUCACCAGGUCAGGACACGGUAAGGAUUGACGGACUGAAGGCUCUUUCUCGAUUCCGUGGAAAGUGGUGCAUGGCCGUUUUUGGUUGGUGGAUCGAUCCGUCUGGUUAAUUCCGUUAACGAACGUAGACCUCGGCACUCCGAAUAGCGCGGCGGACGUCGCGGCCUCCGGGCCGUCUUCCGCACGAGCUUCUUAGAGGGACCGU
rnacentral:rRNA from 1 species